rnacentral:rRNA from 1 species
AUGGGCGAAGGGAGCAGCAGGAAGGCGAUGGGGAAGAAGAGAAGGGCAGUAGGGAAGAGCAGCAGCAGAUGGCAGGGUCGCGCGGGGCACCAGACACCUUGUCUGGUCGGCCGCGCCGUGGAUGCGAUGGCGCUGGAGGUUGGCAGGAUGGAUGGUAUGGUGCUGGUGGUGCGUGGUGGAGAUGGUCGUGGCUGGCGGCGCCGAUGGAUGGAUGGCGCGGCUGCUGGUGGUGGAUGGUGCGGCGGCGCUGAUGGUGGAUGGAGAUGGGUGAUGAGGCGGGAGGCGCACCACCACGCCGGCCUGGCUGUGGCGGCGGCCGGAGGUGGAGAAGGAGGGUGA